rnacentral:lncRNA from 1 species
GCGGGUUCGGCCGCAGCGCGCGCGGAUUGGGCGCGGGUGGGUGCGGGGCCCCGGGCCGGGAGCCCUCCUUCCGUCCCCUCGUAGGCUGCUCGUACUGCCGCCCGCUUACAGAGGGGAAAACCGGGGCGCUCAGCAGACUUCUCCACACUGUUCAAGACCCUGCCCUGGGGAGCCCUCCCUGCUCUGUGGCCACUGCCCAGCCCAGGUCUCACCAUAGCAUCUGGUCCCCAGCAGGCUGAGCCCCCUGAGGCUCGGGGUCAGGUCUGUGCCGACUUUGCAGCCCUGCGACAGUGGAUUCUCAUUAAACGCUUCCUGAGAGCAAAGACAUGAGGGCUGGAACCUGGCUCCCCUGCAUGCAGACUACAUCUGCCAGGUGCGGUGCUAGGAGAGGCAGAUGGUUACGUUUUCACCAGAGCCACCUGCCCACAGAGACCUGGGAUAAUAGAGGCCAAAGGUGGCCCAUCAGCUCAGAAACCUGUAAUUCCGCACAUGCCCAACCAUCCACAGGGACCGGAAGGAGCCGAGCAGACGCCAGCGGAAACCCACAGAUGUUUGCAAUUGACAACAGACCCAUCAGCAGAUGUCCUUAAAGAAUUUGCCGGCACCUGCUGCCUGUUUACCAAUGCUCCCUCCGUGAAGUUCACCUUCAGCUCACGGUGACCACCGCCACCGCCGCCGCCACUGGGGCCCCAAGUCGGGGAUGCCUAGCUCGGGUGGCCCCUUGCUCUAGCCCCCAAGGACAGUCACUUGACCUCUCUGAGCCAGAGAUGCUGCAUGUGUGAAGGAGAAGUGGUAACGCUCACCUCCUAGGAUGGCGGUGACGAUUCGAAAUGAAAACGUCUAGGGCCCUUGGCGUGGGGUCAGCUCCAGGUAGGUGCCCGGUCAGUGGCAGCUGUCGUGAUUCCUCACCUCUUAGCCUCCGUUUCCCCAGCUGGGUUUGGACAGGGCUUAUCUAGAUCAGUGGUUCUCAGUUGGGGGUGAUUUUACCCCCCAGCUGUGGGGCAAGGGAAGCUGCUGGCAUCAGGUGGCGUCGGAGAUGCUGCCAACGUCCGACAGGGUGCAGGACAGCCACGCACAGCGGGGGAUUGUCCAGCCCCAAAUGUCCACAUGAUCUGUAUUAAGAAACCCUGGACUAAGUUCAUCUCUGCGUUUCCCUCGCAGUAGAGGAAGUUUGGGUUGGGUCUGUGUUGCCUUGUGCUGGGAGGGGUCUGGAGCAUCCAGGCUUUCAACCCGGACGUGGCCCCGUAGACUGGACCUCGGGCCUGGGACACUUCCUCCCAGGAGGCAAAGAGG